rnacentral:rRNA from 1 species
CUACGGAGGGUGCAAGCGUUACUCGGAAUCACUGGGCGUAAAGCGCGCGCAGGCGGGCUGAUAAGUUGGAUGUGAAAGCCUACGGCUCAACCGUAGAACUGCAUCCAAAACUGUCAGUCUAGAGUGUGGGAGAGGAAGAUGGAAUUAGUUGUGUAGGGGUAAAAUCCGUAGAGAUAACUAGGAAUACCAAAAGCGAAGGCAAUCUUCUGGAACACUACUGACGCUGAGGCGCGAAGGCGUGGGGAGCAAACAGGAUUAGAUACCCUAGUAGUCC